rnacentral:rRNA from 1 species
GACGAACGCUGGCGGCGUGCCUAAUACAUGCAAGUCGAGCGAAUUUUUGGGAGCUUGCUCCCAAAGGUUAGCGGCGGACGGGUGAGUAACACGUGGGCAACCUGCCUAUAAGACUGGGAUAACUUCGGGAAACCGGAGCUAAUACCGGAUAAUUCAUAUCUACUCAUGUAGGUAUGCUGAAAGACGGUUUACGCUGUCACUUAUAGAUGGGCCCGCGGCGCAUUAGCUAGUUGGUGAGGUAACGGCUCACCAAGUCAACGAUGCGUAGCCGACCUGAGAGGGUGAUCGGCCACACUGGGACUGAGACACGGCCCAGACUCCUACGGGAGGCAGCAGUAGGGAAUCUUCCGCAAUGGACGAAAGUCUGACGGAGCAACGCCGCGUGAGUGAUGAAGGUUUUCGGAUCGUAAAGCUCUGUUGUUAGGGAAGAAUAAGUACUAGAGUAACUGCUAGUACCUUGACGGUACCUAACCAGAAAGCCACGGCUAACUACGUGCCAGCCGCCGCCGUAACAC